rnacentral:rRNA from 1 species
GAUGAACGCUGGCGGCGUUCCUAAUACAUGCAAGUCGAGCGAACAGAUGAGGAGCUUGCUCCUCUGACGUUAGCGGCGGACGGGUGAGUAACACGUGGAUAACCUACCUAUAAGACUGGGAUAACUUCGGGAAACCGGAGCUAAUACCGGAUAAUAUAUUGAUCCGCAUGGUUCAAUAGUGAAAGACGGUUUUGCUGUCACUUAUAGAUGGAUCCGCGCUGCAUUAGCUAGUUGGUAAGGUAACGGCUUACCAAGGCAACGAUGCGUAGCCGACCUGAGAGGGUGAUCGGCCACACUGGAACUGAGACACGGUCCAGACUCCUACGGGAGGCAGCAGUAGGGAAUCUUCCGCAAUGGGCGAAAGCCUGACGGAGCAACGCCGCGUGAGUGAUGAAGGUCUUCGGAUCGUAAAACUCUGUUAUUAGGGAAGAACAAAUGUGUAAGUAACUAUGCACGUCUUGACGGUACCUAAUCAGAAAGCCACGGCUAACUACGUG